CCUACGGGGGGCAGCAGUGGGGAAUCUUCCGCAAUGGGCGCAAGCCUGACGGAGCAACGCCGCGUGAGUGAAGAAGGGUUUCGACUCGUAAAGCUCUGUUGUCGGGGACGAAUGUGGAGGUUGUGAAUAACAGCUUCCAAUGACGGUACCUGACGAGGAAGCCACGGCUAACUACGUGCCAGCAGCCGCGGUAAUACGUAGGUGGCGAGCGUUGUCCGGAAUUAUUGGGCGUAAAGAGCAUGUAGGCGGUUUUUUAAGUCUGGAGUGAAAAUGCGGGGCUCAACCCCGUGAGGGGAUGGAAACUGGUCUUCUUGAGUGCAGGAGAGGAAAGCGGAAUUCCUAGUGUAGCGGUGAAAUGCGUAGAUAUUAGGAGGAACACCAGUGGCGAAGGCGGCUUUCUGGACUGUAACUGACGCUGAGGCUC
rnacentral:rRNA from 1 species